rnacentral:lncRNA from 1 species
CUCUACUUCUCAACCCUCACCACGCUGCUGCUCCUUCUUCCCUCGCCUUGCUGCUGCUCCUCCACUUCUCAACCCUCACCACGCUGCUGCUCAUCCUCUCUAAGUUGCUGCUGCCGCUCCUUCCUUUGCCCUGCUGCUUCUUCUCUCUUCCACCUGCUGCUGCUCCUCCCUCACGCCCCCUCUCUAGCUGGCUGCUGCUGCUCUUCCCCUUCCCUUGCCCCAACCUGCUGCUUCUUCUUUUCCUCAAAUCCUGCUGCUGCUCCUUUCUCCCUAAUUCCCUUCUUCUCUCUUCCUUGCUGCUGUUCCUUUCUGAAGAAAAAGACCCUGCUGUUCUUCUCUGAAUCCCCAACUCGCUGCCGCAGUUUCUAUCUCUUUUUGUCUCUGUAAUUAACAGGAGUUAGUACUGUAUAAUAUAGUGAUUAGUUCAAUUUCAGACUUGUGUUUGUAGUGUUAUAUUGGUGAUCUAUGAGCUGAACUGUGGCAUGUGUCACUUAGUUUUUAUGCUUGAUAAUUAGCUAUAUAUAUAUAUAUAUAUAUAUAUAUAUAUAUAUAUAUAUAUAUAUAUCUUCUGUCCAUUUCUUGCUUAAGAGCCUUGUUUCAUUGUGUAGUCUCUGUGAUAGCUCCAGUACAUGUGAUUUUUAUGUUGUCUCAAGUACCUGUUAUAUAUAUACAUAUGUCUGUGUCUUUGAUGUGAUACAUUUAUGUUCUGUCCUACAACCUUGUUUCUUCCCCCUGUUAAUUGUUAGAUAUAUAUAUAUAUAUAUAUAUAUAUAUAUAUAUAUAUAUAUAUAUAUAUAUAUAUAUAUAUGUUCAUGUCUUUUUAAUUCCUUAGCCGUUUGAUGUUUGCUUGUUUUAGUAUUUUCUUUCUCAAGUAAAACGAUAAUACCAAAAAGACAGAGAGUAUAAUCUGAAUCUCCCUUUGCUUAUUUUGCAUUUUCUUUGGCAAUGAUCUUCGGGAACUACCUUGUUUAGUUUAGGUUUACUUUCUUGCAUUCAUAUUCAGAAUUGUGUUACCUAGCUUUAGCCGAGCAUAGUUGCCGUCGCCUAGUCCCUGUGGAGAACACGACAUCCGUAGUUCGGGCAAAAUAUCCCGCUGUACUUUCAACUGAUCAUUUUGGCGACGUUGCUGGGGACUAGCGUCGAACGAUUGUGUGAAGCUAUAGACUAGGCUUAGUAUAGUUUUUGUUUAAAUUUCCAGUCAAAUUUAUUUCGGUCCUUCUUUUACCUUCUUAUUUUUUGUUGCUUCGGCUUAUUAGGAUACUAACUUUCUGACUAGUGUUUACUGUUUAUGAGUGUGCGUAGGAAAUCUGAACUAAUUGCAGUUUGUUCUAUAGUUACACUCGGUUAAGAUGGCAUUGCUUUGUGAUCUUUGGAUGCCCAAAAGUCAGUGCUAUAUCACAGGACCGGUUUGGCCAACUAUUGAGGCAGAGAACUUCGAGCUGAAACCUAGUCUUAUUGCUUUGGUUCAACAACAACAGUUUGGAGGACUGCCUACUGAAGUCCCUUAUGAGCACUUGCUCCGAGUCAUGGAGUAUUCAGAUACAGUAAAGUAUCAUGGAGUUCCUCAAGAUGUUAUCAAGUGCAUGCUGUUCACAUUCUCUCUUUGAGAUGAUGCUCGUGCUUAGUAUCGAUCCUUGCCAUCAAGAUCAUUCAGUUGGAAUGAGAUAUUACGAGCUUUCUUGGAUAAAUAUUUCCCACUACACAAGCAGUCCGCAAUUCGAGAUGAGAUCUUCAGCUUCGUUCAGCGUGAAGGCGAGAGCUUGUAUGAUGCUUGGGAGAGGUACAAAGCCUUAUUCAGGAGAUGUCCUAACCACGGGCUCGAGAGAUGGUUAGAGCUGCAGCUAUUCUAUAGAGGAUUGACUUCAGACACUCGAUCUUACGUCGAUAUAGCAGCGGGUGGAGCUAUUACAAACAAGACACUUGAUGAUGCUUUUCUGUUGAUUGAGAACAUAGCCUUCCACCAACUUCAGUGGUACAAUGAGAAGCCCACCUCUGGCCUAGUUGCUUGCUUGCAACAAAUCACUUCAUCUCAGCAAGAAUCUCUUACACAAAAGCCGGAACCAGUUUCUCCGUGUGACAAGAUUGAGCUUUCAUGGAUUAUCUUUGAUGAUGAUGACACCAUCCUAGUUGACACACACACUUCAGAUCAUAUGGAUACUAGCACUCUAGAUUCAGUUUUGCAUUGUGAUGAUUCUUCUGUGGAUGAACCAGAGCUACAGUUAGUUACUUUUGAUAUUGAGGAGAUACCUUUAGUUGAUAUUGAUCAUGUGCUGCUAGAGCCAGAUAUGGAAAAGUUCACCUUUGAUGAUGUUAGCCACAUCGAUUCUUCAACGCUUGAGCCUGAGAUGGAAAUCUUCAUUGUUGAUUAUGAUGAGGUCACUUGAUAUGUCAAGGAGCAAAGCCCUACUAUUUCACUUGUCGAUACGAGUCCGGUGGAAGUUUCUACUACUAUGCCUUGCAUGGUAUCUUCAGUUGAGGUAGUCAUAAAACUUCUCCAAGGCCAUUUCAGGUAUUAUCUCAGCUUUCUAGAUAACUUAUGUCAUAUCGCUGAUAUUGCCUAUGCACCAUGUGACUUGUUGUUGAUAAAUGUUCCUGAUUUGCUCAAUAGAUAUACUUAUAUGAUAGGGUACUCUAUCAAUGACUUAGAGGGCAUUCUCUCUGUCACUUGUAUCAGCUUGGUUGUUGAGUGUUCUUUCAGGUUGAUGCUUGUGCACCAUUUACUGCGAGUUGACCGAGUUCGAGAUGACAUUCCCUGGGAUCCUGGUGGAUUCACGGCAUGGUGAUGAGGAGAAGCAAUGGGCACACGCGAAGAAGAGUGAAGCUGGAGCAUGCACAAGGAAGCAAUGGAGAAGAGCUGCAGCUUAGAGAGUGAUCAAGCGAGAGUUACUUCAUAGUGCCCGGUGAGCUGUUUCAUGACCCAUUCUGAACAUCAUAAAUACAUGCUGAAUUCAAUUGCUAGUUGGGUUGCUUGAGCCAGUUAUUACUUAUUGUCAAGCUAAAAUUCACCUUUGGCAUCGUGCUUGUUGUGAAUUUGUGGACUUGAUUUCUGAAUGCCUUGUAAAUUAGUGAUCUACACCAUGCAUGCUUGGCUGAAAUUAGUGAGAACUAUUAGUUUUGAGUGCUCAAAUCCCUAGUACACUAGAAAACUUUGUCAUUUUCUGCAUUUACUAUGAUACACCUAGAUCACCAUGUUUAGAUGCUGAAUUUGUGCGAAGUGUGUUCCCAUUGAGAGCAAUCACCUAACUACUAUGGAUUAGCAUGCUAUGUUCCCUGGAUCGGUAGCAUGUGAACCAGGCAUGGAGAAGUGGGGAUUCCUUUUUUUGUGCUUAUGUGUUGUUCAUUAAAAAAAUACCUUAUAAUGAAUAAUUAUCAGAUCUUACUAACAGUAGCAUGUCAUGUUUCCUGGAUCAGUGGCUUGUGAAAUGUGGUUGGAUCGGAUAGGAGUUAAUUAUAUUAAAAAAUGUAAUUGUCGAACCAGGUGUAUACCAUGUUCUCGGGAUCGGUGGUAUGUUCCUUUGGGGAGACAAACAAAAAAAAACUAAAUAUUGGUCGAGCCAGGUGUAUACCAUGUUCUCGGGAUCGGUGGUAUAUUCCUUUGGUGAGACCGGUAAAAUAUUAUCAUUGUUGCUUCCUCCAAAUUCAAUAAGUGGUUCUACCACAAUGUUGUGUUCAUGGUAAUAAGUGUUUCUCGGGAUCAUGCUCUCUUUAGGAACCUUUGGCACAGUCAUCAUUUAAACUUGUUGAUCCUCUUUUAUCAUUGUAAAAGUUUAAAAUGGUCAUGCUUACUAGUAUCCUACUGCUUUGUAGCACUCUUAACCAUUAAUUUUCACUAGCUAAGUCUGAAGCACGCCUUGUUUGGAGAUCUAUUUUACCAGGACAUUCUUUACUCAGUUCACUGUUCAUACUCUUGCUCUUGUCAUAUGCCUUUGCUUGAGGACAAGCAAAGAUUUAAGUGUGGGGGAACUUGACAGAGCAUUUCCUCAUAUAAUCAUUUUAGCCUUUUUGCAUCACAUUGUAAUCAUAUUUUCACAUUAUUUACUCAAGAAAUAAUCGGAUGUUCCCGUUAUGUUACAUUUACAACACUCCUCCAUGUUUUGCAGAAAAGGGCGAAAAGGCCGAAAAUCCUUCUAUAAUGGAGAGUGUCAAGAAGUUGUGGUUACUGUAAUUUAUGGAGGGACUCAAGCGUGAAGAAAAAGAAGUAAUCAGAGGGGCCAAACUUAAGAAGAGGACCAACUUGUGCAGAGAGAAGAAAAGGACAGGGGCCAACGUGCAAAUGGAAGAUCCGAUCGGGGGAAUCAAAUCCCUAGCGCUCUCAAUCCCCAAAAUCGGGCUUGGCACACAUCUCUCUCCCUCACCCCUCCUUCUCCACCACCGGCCGCCGCCGCGGCCAGGCCGGCAUGGCGGCGCGCCACCGUGCCACCAGCACACCCACCAUCGCCACCAUCGCCAGCCACCUCCACACCUCGCGCGCCCGACCAGACAAGAGGGUCACGGGCGUUUGGUCCUCCGCAUGAGCGCCCCCGUGCUGCUGAUCUUCUUCUUCUCCUAUGCCUUGCUGCUGCUCCUUCUUCCCUCGCCUUGCUGCUGCUCCUCUACUUCUCAACCCUCACCACGCUGCUGCUCCUUCUUCCCUCGCCUUGCUGCUACUCCUCCACUUCUCAACCCUCACCACGCUGUUGCUCCUCCUCUCCAAGUUGCUGCUGCCGCUCCUUCCUUUGCCCUGCUGCUGCUUCUCUCUUCCACCUGCUGCUGCUCCUCCGUCACGCCCCCUCUCUAGCUGGCUGCUGCUGCUCUUCCCCUUCCCUUGCCCCAACCUACUGCUUCUUCUUUUCCUCAAAUCCUGCUGCUGCUCCUUUCUCCCUAAUUCCCUUCUUCUCCCUUCCUUGCUGCUGUUCCUUUCUGAAGAAAACGACCCUGCUGUUCUUCUCUGAAUCCCCAACUCGCUGCUGCAGUUUCUAUCUCUUUCUGUCUCUGUAAUUCAUAGGAGUUAGUACUGUAUAAUAUAGUGAUUAGUUCAAUUUCAGACUUGUGUUUGUAGUGUUAUAUUGGUGAUCUGUGAGCUGAACUGUGGCAUGUGUCACUUAGUAUGUAUGCUUGAUAAUUAGCUAUAUAUAUCUCCUGUCCAUUUCUUGCUUAAGAGCCUUGUUUCAUUGUGUAGUCUCUGUGAUAGCUCCAGUACAUGUGAUUUUUAUGUUGUCUCAAGUACCUGUUAUAUAUAUACAUAUGUGUGUGUCUGUGAUGUGAUACAUUUAUGUUCUGUCCUACAACCUUGUUUCUUCCCCCUGCUAAUUGUUAGAUAUAUAUAUAUAGAUAUUUUCAUGUCUUUUUAAUUCCUUAGCCGUUUGAUGUUUGCUUGUUUUAGUAUUUUUUUUCUCAAGUAAAACGAUAAUACCAAAAAG